rnacentral:rRNA from 1 species
AUACGGAGGGUGUGAGCGUUGUUCGGAAUCACUGGGCGUAAAGGGCGCGCAGGCGGUCUGUCAAGUCAGAUGUGAAAGCCCACGGCUCAACCGUGGACGUGCAUCUGAAACUGGCAGACUCGAGUACCGGAGGGGAAAGUGGAAUUCCCGGUGUAGAGGUGAAAUUCGUAGAUAUCGGGAGGAAUACCGGAGGCGAAGGCGACUUUCUGGACGGAUACUGACGCUGAGGCGCGAAAGCGUGGGGAGCGAACAGGAUUAGAAACCCUGUAGUCC